rnacentral:misc_RNA from 1 species
AAGUCGUAACAAGGUUUCCGUAGGUGAACCUGCGGAAGGAUCAUUACAAAUCUCUGUCUGCUGGGGAGGGCUGGUUGGUUGGUUGGUUGGUUGGGGAGGUCUCUCUGGGGGCCGCCGCUGCCGCUGCCGCCGCCUGACUCGCAGACACAUAUGCACAGGGCCGCAAGGCUCUGAUGUUUACGCUUGUUUGUUUGACAGAUUUAUUAUGUGACAAAAACUUGACAACUUUUAACAAUGGAUCUCUUGGCUCUU